UUGGCCAGAGGAGACUUCAGGGCCCAGAGCAUGCCCGUCAGCAAAGUCUCCCCUGGCUUCUGCAGAAGAACUCUGGUCAUCCAGGUGAGGGACCACAGGCCAGCCAGCUGUUCCUUCCAGACGUCUCCAGAAACCUCUAUGAGUCCCUUGGAAGGUAACAAACUCAGACCAAGGAUUUGGUCCUUGCUUGUUGGGUGGCCAGGAAAUAACAGCUUUGCACAGGCUGCUCAAGGUGAGGCUGCUUCUGAAGAAACCCAACAGUAGACUCUGGUGUGAAGAACAAAGACACACAGCUUGAGCCUGGGGAUGGACACCUCCCAGCAGCCCUGGCUGCCACUCACUGCUGUGCUGCAGCCUGAGAUGAGAAUACUGAUGUUCAGAGCAACCGACUGAACCCCUGGAAGUCACUCAUACUGAAAAUGGCAAAGCAGUAUCUGCCCCUGCUC